UCCCCAGUGGCGCAAUUGGUUAGCGCACGGUACUUAUACGACAGUAUUCGUGGCAAUGCCGGGGUUGUGAGUUCGAGCCUCACCUGGGGAA
rnacentral:tRNA from 1 species